rnacentral:rRNA from 1 species
UACGGGGGGGGCAAGCGUUGUUCGGAAUUACUGGGCGUAAAGGGCUCGUAGGUGGCCAACUAAGUCAGACGUGAAAUCCCUCGGCUCAACCGGGGAACUGCGUCUGAUACUGGGUGGCUUGAAUCCGGGAGAGGGAUGCGGAAUUCCAGGUGUAGCGGUGAAAUGCGUAGAUAUCUGGAGGAACACCGGUGGCGAAGGCGGCAUCCUGGACCGGCAUUGACGCUGAGGCGCGAAAGCGUGGGGAGCAAACAGG